rnacentral:lncRNA from 1 species
GAAUGGAUAUCGUUACAAGUACAUGUACAUAAGAGAUGAGUAUAUGGAAUUGGCUUGCACUCGCCACAAGCUACAACAUGUACGACACAAUAGAAUAAUAUAUUCAAUCACCAUGUAGAAGAGCAGGGUCCGACCACAGACAAAAACAAACGAUAAAAGAAUGACGUCCAUCCUUGCUAUCCCAGGCCGCCGGCAUGGAACCCAUCCUAGAUCCAUGAAGAAGAAGAAGAAGCUCCAAAUAGCAGAAUCAUCGCGCUCACAUCAAAGUAUCGCUUUACCUGUACCUGCAACUGUUGUUGUUGUGAUAUGUGAGCCAAAGGGACUCAAUAAUAUAAUUUCCAAAGGUAUCAAGACUAGCAAAGCUUAAUGGGUGAGGUAUGGUUAAGUCGUGAGACUGUAGCGAGCAACUAAGCAUUUAUUUUAGUGGCUAACUUACGAGUACAAGAAAUAUAGUGGGUGAUAUACAUAUAAAUGGACAUAAACUAAUAAUGAUCAAAUGAAU